AGAACGAACGCUGGCGGCAUGCCUAACACAUGCAAGUCGAACGCUUCCGGGGCUUCGGUCGCGGAGGAGUGGCGCACGGGUGAGUAGCGCGUGGGAACCUGCCCUGUUGUGGGGGAUAACCGAGGGAAACUUCGGCUAAUACCGCAUACGCCCCGGGACUUGGUCUUCGGAUUAGGUCUGGGGGGAAAGAUUGAUCGCAGCAGGAGGGGCCCGCGUCGGAUUAGCUGGUUGGUGGGGUAACGGCUCACCAAGGCGAUGAUCCGUAGCUGGUCUGAGAGGAUGAUCAGCCACACUGGGACUGGGACACGGCCCAGACUCCUACGGGAGGCAGCAGUGGGGAAUAUUGGACAAUGGGGGCAACCCUGAUCCAGCAAUGCCGCGUGAGUGAUGAAGGCCUUAGGGUUGUAAAGCUCUUUCGCCCGCGACGAUGAUGACGGUAGCGGGAGAAGAGCCCGGCUAACUUCGCGCCAGCAGCCGCGGU
rnacentral:rRNA from 1 species